rnacentral:rRNA from 1 species
CUAGAGAUAGAAGUUACUUCGGUACAUCGGUGACAGGUGGUGCAUGGUUGUCGUCAGCUCGUGUCGUGAGAUGUUGGGUUAAGUCCCGCAACGAGCGCAACCCUUGUUCUUAGUUGCCAUCAGGUAAUGCUGGGCACUCUAAGGAUACUGCCGGUGACAAACCGGAGGAAGGUGGGAUGACGUCAAAUCAUCAUGCCCUUUAUGACCUGGGCUACACACGUGCUACAAUGGCCUAUACAAAGGGUUGCGAAGCUGUGAAGUGGAGCCAAUCCCAAAAAGUAGGUCUCAGUUCGGAUUGUAGGCUGCAACUCGCCUACAUGAAGUCGGAAUCGCUAGUAAUCGCGGAUCAGCCAUGCCGCGGUGAAUACGUUCCCGGGCCUU